rnacentral:rRNA from 1 species
AUACGUAGGGAGCGAGCGUUGUCCGGAAUUACUGGGUGUAAAGGGUGCGUAGGCGGGACUGCAAGUCAGAUGUGAAAUGCCGGGGCUCAACCCCGGAGCUGCAUCUGAAACUGUGGUUCUUGAGUGAGGUAGAGGUAAGCGGAAUUCCUAGUGUAGCGGUGAAAUGCGUAGAUAUUAGGAGGAACAUCGGUGGCGAAGGCGGCUUACUGGGCCUUUACUGACGCUGAGGCACGAAAGCGUGGGGAGCAAACAGGAUUAGAUACCCUGGUAGUCCACGCUGUAAACGAUGAUGACUAGGUGUGGGGGGACUGAACCCUUCCGUGCCGCAGUUAACACAAUAAGUCAUCCACCUGGGGAGUACGGCCGCAAGGUUGAAACUCAAAUGAAUUGACGGGG